GCCCCACGCCAUUGAGGCCAGCUUUUUCAAUCUUCGCUUUGUCUCCCCAGUCAGACCAGUACAUGAACCUAAAAGAGAUGGAUGCAAGGAGACAGUAAAUCGGACCCAAGGGUGAGCAGUGCAGCACAGCCAUUAAACCAUGGAUCUUGAAGGAAAAUGGAAACAACCACAAGCCAAUUAAAGUCAGCAGGCUGGGAAGAUAUGUCCGAGCACCCCAACCCAGCUCUGGGAUGCCUUUACCUUCCUAUCAGAGACACACGUGUACACAGAUAUCAAGAAGGAACCAGUUUGAACACUUUAGUGGCUAAAACAGGAUGAAGCACUGGAAAUACCGCGCACACCAACAGCACGAUGUUAAAUGCAUCGAGCCAGCUGAAAAGAAAUCCAUUAUUUAUCAGCUCCGUGCCUGUUACAGCCAAGCUCAAAGUGCAUUUCAAACCGGAUUAUUCAGAGGUGCUGCCUUGCUCCGUACACUCGAACUUCAGAGUGAAACAGAUCUCGCAGCCCCUCUCUGAAUCCUGACAGAACAAAAGAGGAACCUGGAAUACACCUAAUGCUGCUGGGCCAGGCACCCAGCCAUGCCUUGGGGUACAACCUGCAAUGAAACCCUGCCUGAAAACACAACCCAGAGCAUCCCUUGGCUGCCCUCCCCACCAAAGGAGAAUCCCCAGCCCUGCCCACACUCACGGCAAUCCUGCUCAUCAGACUUGUCCUUGCAGUCUUCGUCUCCAUCACACUUCCAGUUAAGGAGGAUGCAUUCGCCAUUGCCACACUGGAACUCGUGAGCAGCGCAGGUGUUGAAGGCCUUGGCAUCAUAGCCACACCUCUCUAUGGACUCAUCCGAAUGGUCCUCGCAGUCUGCCUGGUUGUCACAGACCCACAGCUCUGGGAUGCACACGCUGUUGUUGCACUGGAACUCAUUGGGGCUGCAGGUCAGAGGGGAGCAUUUCCUUUCAUCGCUGCCAUCGCCACAGUUAUUGUAACCAUCGCACACGAAGCUGAUGGAGAUGCACGUCUUGUUACUGCACUGGAACUCAUCAGGAGAACAAGCUUGGGAAACAAAACAGAAACAAGCAGCUACACAGCAAGUGACAUGGAGGGCACCAGGAGUGAGCUGACCCAAGCUGGGAGCCCAGCUCAGACUAUCCCACCACCCCUCUGGGCCACGGGCAGCCCUGCAGGAGAAAGGGCAGCAGGUAAAAUGGGGGGCAACUGCAGCACUGCCCCGGUGCUGGGGCUCCCUUUUGUAUAUAAGGAGACACAGGGGGGCUGGAGGAGCAGUGGUGGGCGCUGGGGGCUCACACAGUGCUGAGCUUUGCUCCAUGUUGACAUUAACAGCUUCCUGGCUUUCACAAGCACAGAAUCAGGUUUGAGGAUUUCACAGUGUGCCUGGUUUUGGACAUAUUAAGUGGGAUGUGUAGGGUAAAUAUUUAGUGAGGCGAGCAUCAAUUUAGCUGCAAUCUGCCAGUAAGGCCCUUUACAACACACUGAAAGCAUUCCCUGGAAAUCACAACUCAACAUUAACACACAAAUGAGACAUUUGUCAGAUAUGAAGCUGAGUGCUGAACUCUCACAACCCUGAUGGACAGAGAGACCUGCUGGAAUUAACAUUUCAGGUACUCCAACACUGUGCACUUGGCAGCCGCUUUGCCUCAUCAGGUUAUGGGGGAACCAAGACUCUGAAAUAGAUCUGCUCUAAGUGCUUUUAAUCAAAGCUCAUUUGGUCAGUUACUUUUAAAAAACAAAUAUAUAUCUGCUUCUGCCCUUCCACACACAUAUAGAAAGGUUAUGCAUUUUAUAAAGUAUAAUAAAUAUAAAUAAAUACUUUUCCUAUUUGCACUUUGGACCCUAUUUGCCUUCAGUAGCUUCAAGCCCAAUCUCCAUCCAACAGGGAUAAACAUUAAAGAGAACCUCAGCUGCGCUCUGCUGCAUGCCCAGCUUUCCAUCAGCAACAACAUGCAAUGGUGUGCAGUCACCAAAGGAGCAUCCCAGUUCUAGGACAUCCUAGAGAGGUCAAGAGUGGGACACAGAGAUUAAGAUGUAACCCAUCUUAAUCUCCAGGCAAUGAGGAACUGAGAUCACACACCUUACAUUAGGACAUGAAUCCCUGUCAUAAGGGCCCAAAACACAAUCAGAGUCUGGUGGAGAAGCAUCUGAAAACCCUUCCAUGUGUCUAAAAUUCUCCAGCCCAUCCAUAAUUUCAGCUCAUUUUCUUCACUCAGCAUGAUUUUCUACCCUCAUCCCAUAACCAGGAAUAAAAUGAGCUGCUAAUCCUUCUGAUCAGCACACAGCUCUAUGACCUAAUGAACACUUCAAGUGAUGAAUAAGAUGGAGCUACCAAAUGGAAAUUUGAGCUAAGAGUUAAAACCUUAACAACCCAUUCAAAGGAGGAGGCGACGGAUGGGAUUAUUUCUAAGGCUACGGACAGUUCCUGUAACAGAUCAAGGCUGAGAAGCAGAAAUUGCUUUUCUGGCAUUAUUUUGAUCUAUUUGAUUAUUUUGAUUUUGAUUUGGUGAGCUGACAGCACUAGAGACAUUUCUGCAUCCAUGGACUAAGCGCAGCCCAUUGCUGCUGCUGCUGCCUAACCCCUUCCCAGCCUCAUGGGCCUAAGGUGGGGCAGCUCCCUGUGCUCUGGUCUUCCCAAAGCACUACAGAAGGCUGCUCCAGGCACCUCCUGGUCAACUCAGGAAAUACAAAUGCCUUCUCCUUCACUUACAGGCCUAACAGUCACCAAGCCAGCUACACAGUACAGUCCCUGCUGUGUCACACGUGCCUGGAGCAGAGACCUCUGCCCCAGCUGGCUCUCCCAUGAGCCAUAGGAAGGCAGAUUCUGUCCCAGUUCCUCUCACCCUUUUGCUAUCUUCUGACAGCUGAAAUCCACAGGGCAUGCAAGGAUAAAGCAAAGUCUGCAGCUUCCAGGCACUUGGGGACUUGCUCCAGCACAAACAGGCAACAGAAGAGGAAAGCUGCUUACAGUCCCUGCACACCAACACAAGAGCCAACGUGCUCAUGUUCCUUGGGACCUCCCCUGCACAGUCUGAAGAGCCUAAUAAAAAGCAGCACUACAAAUGUCCUUACAUAGGCAGCUGGAGAGAUGAGGAUGGGGAAAGUACAGUCCCAGGGACAGCUUAUUUCAUGUCUCCUUUCACAGCCGUGUCAGGGCAGUCCCAUCACUACAGCCUUCCACUGCCUCUGGAGCAUCCUGAUAGAAACACCUUGAAUAACAAUUAAAUGAACACCAGGGCAUCUUUUCUUUGAUGUGAGCAAUUUGUUUAUAUAUUCUCUGAUUCUGCUACCUGUUCCAUUAAGGGUGUGUUUGUAUGAAACAAAGCAAACAAAUAUUAGCUUUCCCUACUGCCAAAGAAAUUAAUAAAUGUCAUACUCUCAGACUGAAAGUCUCCUUCAAGUAUGAAGUGAUCCCAGUAGAGACACUGGGAACGUUUGUCAAGAAGAGUUUAACCCCACAGGCUUCAAAGCAGUAAAUAAGCAUAAUUACAAAAGCCAUUUGGUAGGAUACAGUAAUCCAUUAAGAUUCUUCAGGUGUUUUAGGAAGAAAACAUCACAUCUAAAUGGCAACAUACACUUGCUUUGGCUUAUAGACAACGUAUAGCAGAGGUACUCUGCAUUAAUUGAUGCCUUAUGCUACAGUACAACUGGCAAGGUUUUAACUGGGCAGCCCCCAGCUGCAGCCCUGUCACAUCUCACAUCUCCUGGAGAGUGGAACAGCAGCAGCCUUUGGGUCGAGAAAGAAAACACACUGUGGUUAUGCAGUUGUGUUUUGGUUCUGGUUCUCCACCCUGAGCCAGGAUUUAAGCAGAGGCUUUAAUGAGCACUCCAGUACACCAGCGACAAAAAAAACGGAGGUAAAUCUAUCAAAAGCUUUUAAAGAGCUUACAAAGAAAAGUAAAACUCUGUAAAGAUACAGGGCACGCUUUAAGAACUGUAAUUUCAAAUAUAUAUCCAUAAUUCUACAAAGCAUGGAUACUCAAAUCUGGAUGAAACUCAAAGUGUGACAUAGGCAGGAUAUCCAUCGUUAGAAAGAGCUGGGAAUGGCGUACAAUGGACUGCAGCUGCUUCCACUGCCAUCUUAAAUUAAAAGAUUUGUAGCUUUUCAGUAAGAAACUCAUAUUUUAAUACAUCUUUUUUUGUUAAAAGAAAAUACUCAGUUCCCCUUGAAAUUACACACAUGACUUGGAGAAUAGAACUAAUUGGUAAAGCUUGUGAUGAAGCUGACGACAGCAAUUACUGAUGCCAAAGAGAAGAAACUAAGACAGAUGAUGGCACUGCAGCUUCCCGAGGCAACCAAAAAGAAGCAUGGUUCAACAUUUCUUGUUUGCUUAAACCCAACAGUGGAUUUUCUAUGGAAGGCAAGGGAUGAUUUGCACACACUAACAUUUGCAGUGGGGAAAGAGAUCCGCUGCCGAUUUGUCACAACUUGAACACUGGCUGGAGAGGCUGCGGACUUGGAAAGCCUUAAGCUGUGAGGUUUAGAAGUGAGCUCCAGGAGGCUGCAGCAGCGCGGUGCCUGAGCUCCAUGUGCCCAGGUACUGUGCAUAAAGAGCUAAUCCUGCCACCACAGCCCACAUACAUUAAUCUCCAAGCAGGACUGAGAUAAGGAGGUCACGGAGCCUAGACAGGCUGAAUUAAGUUGGAACUCCCAGCCCAGCUACCAAUGCUGUCAUUGCAUUGAUUUGACUGAACUAGGAUUUAUUUUCAAGCUUUGUUGUACCUACAUUGUUUGCUUUGUCUGCUGAAAUCGGUGCGGUUACCUGAAGAUCUGACAUAGACCUCUGGUCAAAUGUCAGCCUCCAAAGCACGUGUUCAUCCCUGGAAGGCCAAGUUUCCCACGGAAGGCCUCCCUCCAGGAAGGGCAGGGACAGACGGCGGUAAAUGAAGACGACCUUGAAGCGCAUUGCUCCAAGAGCUGACAGGCCUCCCAUGGAGGGAAUAAUGCGGCUGAAUUGCAGUCUCACUGCUAACGGUGGUUGUUGCUAUGGUGAUUGAUACCGAAAAGCCCAUAUAGAUGAAGACUGCAGAAGGAAUAAGUAAUUCCUGAUAUUGUUCAAAUCACUAAUGGAGCUAAGGAGCCAUUUCACGCACUCCUGCAAAUUAAGAUUUGCAUGCACUCGCUGCCUUUGCCACACAGCUCCCCUCAAACACCAGGGAGUUAUUUUCCCCUUCACCAUGACAGUACGUGUGUAAUAUUGGUUAAUUACAGGGGAGCAACCAGAUGCCAAAACCCCUGCAGACACAUAACUGGUGGUUCAGAAAUGUAUUUACCGUUACAGAAUCUAUAGUUCUGGACAAUCAUAUAUUCAUUCAAAGUGAUCUUCUGAAAAUAGAAUUAAUUAUGAGCCCAUAAUUUAUGAAUAGAAGAAGUUUAUGUAAAAAAGAUAAGUAGGCUUGGAACUUCCCCCAUCCGCAAUGUCAUUUGGGUGCAGUAAGGCCACAGAACUCAUCCCUUCAGUCUCCUCAGUUUCACUCUGCACUGGGAAAGUGCUAAGAGCUCACGGGUUUUAACUCCAGUGAGUAAAGUGGGACAAAGCAGUGCUCCCAUUGCAAGCAAUGAGGUCAGUGCCCUGUUAAAUCUCCACUUCCACUAAUGUAGUUUGCUUGAUGGGAAUUUUCUGUAAAAGGAGAUAUUUCUUCUUGCUGCAGUCUGCUUCACUGCUAGACUCACGUUUUCAGUGUAUUUAGUACAUGGCACCAUUAACUCUUUUGGAGGACACACAAAGCAAAGAGUUGUCACAAACCCUUCUGCAACAUCUCACCCAGCUGUCUCACAUUUCUCCAGGGCCAGGGAUCCAACACAGUGGCAAUCAUAAAGAUCCUUUUGAAAUAAAAGACUUUGCAAGGCACUGGUAGGAAGGGAUGAAUACGUUAAAGAAGCACAGAGGAUACAGCAAGACAAACAGCUGGAUACAGUGCAGCCAGAUUGAGGGUUAUGAAUACCUACACAGACCACAGACACCAGGUGUAUGAAGACCACCAAGGUGGAUUUGGGAUGGAGAGAGACUGAUAGCCUCUUUAGGAAAGAGCCAACCCCUAAUUAUCCUUACUUAAGUGACCUUGCCUUAGAUUCUCCACUCAAAUGGAACAUUAAAGCACUGAGUAACACUCACUCAAAUUAGAAGUGUAAGGGCCGUGUGGCAUCUGCACUCACUUUAAUUGUACAGAAGUUUCUAGGACACCAGGUUUCGCCCUUCCACUUCUACUGCUUUGAAAUGGAGGGCAUUGUUUGGCUGAAUCUGGGCUGAGAAGAUGAACUAACUGUACAGCACGUAGAUACAUAUACUUCAUUGAAAGCUCAACCUUCCCAAGUCAUAUUUUAUCAAAGAAACAAAUUUAUCUGCAAAAUACAAGCAAAAUUAAUCCAACCACUUUAUCUUCCUGUUUGAAUACAGCAUUCCAGCCACAAAGAUAAGUUUUAGAUGCUGUUUCAUCUGUUAACAUGACUCACAAAACAGCUUUCCCCCCCCAUCAAACACUACAUGACCCUUUCCUGCGUAGGACUGCGCUGAGUUCAAGCUGGCUCAUUCUGAUUCACAUUCAAAAUCAUAUGCUCAGGAAGAACAACUGUUAAGCUGUGUUUAAUUAGUGUAAUGCAUAUGUGCUCACAUCCACUGAGGGAUGGAACCUCUACCCACGUAUCUAUCACCAUAACGCGAUUGUUGGCACUGACCGUUAAAGGAGAUUUCCCUCAGCAAAACUAAACAGAUUCUUCCCUUUCAGAUGGAUAAAAUCAGAAUUAUCACUCUGUUUUUAUGAAGAAAGCACUUCAGGGACAUGAGAUACAACCGUAUUUGGCAGUAAGAUGCCAUUUCUUGGCUAUUUCAACUCCAAGAGCUCUUAAAUGUUGACAGACAGACUGCCCAGAAGACAAACAUCAAGUCAAAGUCUGCUCCUGGGACUAUGACACACAAGAUAGGAAAGCAGCUUUUUUCUAUAUGCAUGUGCAGCACGCAGUGCAGAAACACCACGCGUUGCUUCCAAUUAACCAAAAGCAUUUAAACUAAAAUAGUUAUUUCAUACCACCCUUCCACAACCCUGUAAAAAAUGAUCAUUUCGGGUCUGCAGGAACCUGAACUUGCAGUGCUUUCUCUCUGCAUCCACUCUUUCCUGGUGUACCUCACCAGGAGAACACUGUAGGUAGGAGUACUACAUUUGGAAUUGCCCUCUUUUUAGAUUGUGCUCCAUUCUUGUACGCAUUGAAGGAUCGAUUACUCAACAUCCUGAUAGAGGCAGUUCAGCUGAAACUGAGGGAUCAGCACUGUGCAGAUGUGCACGGGCAGCCUGCAAAGCUGCACCUCAGCACCUCCAUACUAGGGAACUCCAUCUGCAGAAUGUAUCUGUUAUUCCUUAUACUGAACGUAAUAGAAAGCACUGAGGAAAAGAAACCCUUCUGCAGACAGAGCCUUGGCAGAGCUCAGGCCAUGGGCUUUGGGUUUAACUCCCGACAUCUGCAAUGACUGCCUUCCCCCUAACCUCAAGCUGAUACAGUAUUUUCCAUUUAAUUACAGCAAGCACCCAAUGCAUUAACAACGAGACUACCUUCAUGUUUCUGUAGGAAUGCAAUUAAAGGUAACUGCCGAGCUCA